rnacentral:rRNA from 1 species
GUUUACAGCAAUGCCACCCUGAACAUGCCCAAUCUCGUCUGAUCUUGGAAGCUAAGCAGGGUCAGGACUGGUUAGUACUUGGGUGGGAGACCACCUUGGAACACCAGGUGCUAUAGACA